rfam:Oryza glaberrima chromosome 6 Oglab06_0194_11, whole genome shotgun sequence.
CAGAGGCAAAGACCGGCCGGUUUCCGUGUCUUUUAACUGUCCGUUUUAUAUAAAUUUUUUUUAUAAUUCGUAUUUUUAUUGUUGUUAGAUGAUAAAUUAAUAUUUUAUGCGUGACUUGUCUUUUUAAAUAUAUUUUUAUAAAUUUUUCAAAUAAGACGGACGGUCAAACGUUGAGCACGGAAAUCAGAGUUUGUAUUUUUU